GACGAACGCUGGCGGCGUGCUUAACACAUGCAAGUCGAGCGGAGCGGCGAACGGGUGCGUAACGCGUGAGUAACUGCCCCCCUCCCUGGGAUAACGGUUGGAAACGGAUGCCAAUACCGGAUAGUGGGGGGGGACUCUGGUCCUAUCAGCUUGUUGGUGGGGUAGUGGCCUACCAAGGCGACGACGGGUCGCCGGCCUGAGAGGGCGACCGGCCACAUUGGGCUGAGAUACGGCCCAGACUGCUACGGGAGGCAGCGGUGGGGAAUAUGGCGCAAUGGGGGAAACCGUGAUGCAACAACGCCGCGUGCGGGAUGACGGCCUUGGGGUUGUAAACCGCUUUCAGCCAUGACGCGGUAGUGGCAGAAGAAGCACCGGCUAACUACGUGCCAGCAGCCGCGGUAAUUC
rnacentral:rRNA from 1 species